GAUGAAGAACGUAGCUAAAUGCGAUAAGUAAUGUGAAUUGCAGAAUUCAGUGAAUCAUCGAAUCUUUGAACGCACAUUGCGCCCCCUGGUAUUCCGGGGGGCAUGCCUGUUCGAGCGUCAUUUCACCACUCAAGCCUCGCUUGGUAUUGGGCAACGCGGUCCGCCGCGUGCCUCAAAUCGACCGGCUGGGUCUUCUGUCCCCUAAGCGUUGUGGAAACUAUUCGCUAAAGGGUGUUCGGGAGGCUACGCCGUAAAACAACCCCAUUUCUAAGGUUGACCUCGGAUCAGGUAGGGAUACCCGCUGAACUUAAGCAUAUCAAUAAGCGGAGGA
rnacentral:misc_RNA from 1 species